rnacentral:rRNA from 1 species
CAGCACCUCAAGUGGUCAGGAUGAUUAUUGGGCCUAAAGCAUCCGUAGCCGGCGCUGUAAGUUUUCGGUUAAAUCUGUACGCUCAACGUACAGGCUGCCGGGAAUACUGCAGAGCUAGGGAGUGGGAGAGGUAGACGGUACUCGGUAGGAAGGGGUAAAAUCCUUUGAUCUAUUGAUGACCACCUGUGGCGAAGGCGGUCUACCAGAACACGUCUGACGGUGAGGGAUGAAAGCUGGGGGAGCAAACCGGAUUAGAUACCCGAGUAGUCC